rnacentral:tRNA from 1 species
AAUCCCUCUCUCUCCU